UACGAAGGGGGCGAGCGUUGUUCGGAUUUACGGGGCGUAAAGGGCGCGUAGGCGGCCUUGUCAGUCAGGCGUGAAAGCCCCGGGCUCAACCUGGGAACGGCGCUUGGGACGGCGAGGCUGGAGUUCGGGAGAGGAGAGUGGAAUUCCCAGUGUAGAGGUGAAAUUCGUAGAUAUUGGGAAGAACACCGGUGGCGAAGGCGGCUCUCUGGACCGACACUGACGCUGAGGCGCGAAAGCGUGGGGAGCAAACAGG
rnacentral:rRNA from 1 species